GGCUUGGUAUCAUGAGCUCAGACAAUUUCUUGUAGCCUCUGGGUUUACAAACUCUCAUGUGGACACAUCACUCUUUGUCUUCAACACCAGCGGUAAUCAAGUCUAUCUCUUUGUAUAUGUUGAUGACAUAAUUAUUACUGGAAGUAAUGCCACUGCAGUUCAACAGUUUAUUGAUCUUCUUGGCAAAAGAUUUUCCAUCAAAUAUCUUGGUGACUUGACUUACUUCCUUGGUAUUGAAGUUGCCACUACUUCCACUAGUUUACUUCUCUCUUAGCAGAAAUAUAUCAAAGAUCUUUUCGCUCGCACAAAUAUGACAGGUUCCAAAUCUGUCACCACUCCACUUACCACCGAGCCAACACUUACAAUUCUUUCCGACACUGCUUUGAUAGAUCCUUCUGAAUACAGGACAGUUGUUGGAAGUCUCCAAUAUUUGUGCCUCACUCGCCUUGAUAUUGCAUAUGCUGUUAAUAAGUUGUCUCAAUUCAUGCAUCGACCUACUAUUGAUCAUUGGAAU
rnacentral:lncRNA from 1 species